AAGGCGACCCAUUGUCUCGGCAAUUUCUCCCGGCACCGGAUUCAAUUAAACGAGCAACAGGCAUCGCAACGCUACGACUGAUUGACAUCGCAUCGAUCCUGUAAAGUGGGAGUCAAGCAAAGGGUGACACAAAGACCCUUGGGUGCCCACGUGUGAAAAGCAUGAGGUGUUAUCGACGUCGUGAAAACGACAAGUUUUAACGUGGCGACGAGUAAACAGGAUGCUGCUUAUCUGCAGCGAUUCGAUAGACGCAAGAUAUUGAAUACCCUGCGUUUUCAAAACGAAUAAUGUGGAGAGGUUCUAUGUUUGAAGACGGUUGACAAUGUUGACUGUUUGAUAAGACAGCGCGAGGAUGUUUGCUAAAUACUGCUCGUUUCAUUCGUCCAAGUUAAUUCAUAGAGUGAAGUUAAGCCUCUGCGAAGAAAUGAGUCGUGAUGGAUUUCUCAUUUUCCUUGCCAUUUUUUCUUGCGUUAUUUAUUGCUCGCACACUGAUUCGCCGACCGAGUUACCGCUCCCGCGACCGACGCCCAGCGAGUUACUAAAUAAACAGGACAUAGAACUACUAUUGGUUUUUUUCAUCAUCUUUGGUGUGAAGGCAAUUUGUUUCAUCCUGAUCUAUCUGUUCUGCUUCAGGCAGAGGAAUCGAAGUGACUACGAGCGGCCGCUGAUAGAGGAGGAAAAUACUUUGAACAAUGAUUGACUAAGAUUAUGAAUCGAUCGAAGAUUAAGUUCACACUAACGAAGCUUUGGUUAACGUUUCCACAACAAGUAUUAUUGUAGUAGUAUUAAAGAGUAACGAGAUCAUAAAUAUGUAUGAUGAGUAUUAAAAUCACUUGUAACAUUG